rnacentral:lncRNA from 1 species
CCCUCUCCUCUUCCCCUUCCUCGCAGCGGUUUGCGAUUUGCCCCUUCUCGCUCCAUCUCUCUUUCUCAUCCCGUGCUUCCACCCAUAUGCGCAGCCAACGGGAUUUAGCGCUAUGAGACGACUGCUCGGCGAAGUUCAUUCCCAGGUUGCCGGCGUGUUCAAUCGGGUGACUAACCCUCCUCGGCUCCUCCUCCUCAACGAUUCACGGCAAGAACCGGGACAGCGCCGUGCCCUUCCCCGUCUCCAACACUACAGUGCUCGCGCCGUCGGUGCUGUCGUAUUUCAUUAUCAUUCGAAUAUGUGUGGAUUUGACCCCUUCGUUGCCUUCCCAUCAUGUUGUGUUCAUUCUUUUCUGAAUCUGAUUCUCAUGCCUGGUGCGAAUCUUCUAUAAAUCGUUGUCAGGAUUUGUUCCUUCGAUCCCGGUUAUAAUUCGUUGAAUCGCCCUCGCGGAUCCCGUUUGCGUGCGUGCGUGAUGGUUGGGGCGUGACCACGGGUUGAAUACUAAAAAA